GCGAGCGUAAAUGUAUUGCACAAUUAUAAAUGAAAAUAAUAAAAGUCAAUUUUGGCAUCGAUUCAAGAAACAAUGGAUGUAAGUACAUCUACAUGGGAAAGGGAUUAAAAGCUGAACAAGAUCUUUGCUUACUAUUCCAAGUUUGUUUCCCAUUCACAUAUGAAUAUGCUGGAAAAUGAAUUUUUAUUAAACAAACGGAUAGGAUUUCCAAGUGGAUUGAAAAAAUUUUGUGUAUGCUAAAGGAAUGGUUUGAGUAUUCUUGUUUUAUAAUAGUGUUUUCCGCGUGUAGCUUCUAGUGGUAGCUUCUAAUACAAUACAGAAUUUUAAAUGAAAAGUUCUUAUAAUUUGAAGUAUUCGCAUUAAUUGUAUUGGUGCAGCAAAUUUUAAAUUUGAUCAUUUUCGUUUUUCAUACGAACACAAAGGUAAUAGAAUACUGAUAUAAACUUAACUUAAGAAGAAGAAGAGCAUUAAGACAAUAAAAUUGGCAUCAUAAAUUUUAUAAAUUUAUUUUUGAUCAAAUAUAAUUUUUCUGCAUUAAAUUAAGAAUUUAAAUAAUCUAAAACAUUAUUAUAU